GGCAGCCUGGGGUGUUCGAUACUCCUGUUAUUUUGAACCUACAUUUACUUUUAUGGGAUUCCUAUAUUUCCAAUUGGAUGUCAGGCCUCCGUUUUGCAGUGGAAGGCAGAAGAUUGGGUGCGGAUACCCACCUAGCUUUGCUAGGAGUCAAAAUACAGGAACCGGCAUUUUGGGUCUUUG
rnacentral:other from 1 species